rnacentral:rRNA from 1 species
CCUACGGGAGGCAGCAGUGGGGAAUUUUGGACAAUGGGGGCAACCCUGAUCCAGCAAUGCCGCGUGUGUGAAGAAGGCCUUCGGGUUGUAAAGCACUUUUGUCCGGAAAGAAAUCGCGCUGGCUAAUACCUGGCGUGGAUGACGGUACCGGAAGAAUAAGCACCGGCUAACUACGUGCCAGCAGCCGCGGUAAU